rnacentral:rRNA from 1 species
CGUGCUUAACACAUGCAAGUCGAACGAUGAAGGAAGAGCUUGCUUUUCUGGAUUAGUGGCGAACGGGUGAGUAACACGUGAGUAACCUGCCCUCUUCUUUGGGAUAACGGUCGGAAACGGCUGCUAAUACUGGAUAUUCACUCAUUGGCGCAUGUUGGUGGGUGGAAAGGUUUUUUCUGGUGGGGGAUGGGCUCGCGGCCUAUCAGCUUGUUGGUGGGGUGAUGGCCUACCAAGGCUUUGACGGGUAACCGGCCUGAGAGGGUGACCGGUCACAUUGGGACUGAGAUACGGCCCAGACUCCUACGGGAGGCAGCAGUGGGGAAUUUUGCACAAUGGGCGCAAGCCUGAUGCAGCGACGCCGCGUGAGGGAUGAAGGCCUUCGGGUUGUAAACCUUUUUCGCUCAUGGUCAAGCCAUACUGUUGGGUGUGGUGAGGGUAGUGGGUAAAGAAGCGCCGGCUAACUACGUGCCAGCAGCCGCGGUAAUACGUAGGGCGCGAGCGUUGUCCGGAAUUAUUGGGCGUAAAGGGCUUGUAGGCGGUUGGCCGCGUCUGCCGUGAAAUCCUCUGGCUUAACUGGGGGCGUGCGGUGGGUACGGGUUGACUUGAGUGCGGUAGGGGAGACUGGAAUUCCUGGUGUAGCGGUGGAAUGCGCAGAUAUCAGGAGGAACACCGGUGGCGAAGGCGGGUCUCUGGGCCGUUACUGACGCUGAGGAGCGAAAGCGUGGGGAGCGAACAGGAUUAGAUACCCUGGUAGUCCACGCUGUAAACGUUGGGCACUAGGUGUGGGGGCCACCCGUGGUUUCUGCGCCGUAGCUAACGCUUUAAGUGCCCCGCCUGGGGAGUACGGUCGCAAGGCUAAAACUCAAAGGAAUUGACGGGGGCCCGCACAAGCGGCGGAGCAUGCGGAUUAAUUCGAUGCAACGCGAAGAACCUUACCAAGGCUUGACAUGCACC